GCCGGGCGUGGUGGCGCAUGCCUGUAAUCCCAGCUACUCAGGAGGCUGAGACAGGAGAAUUGCUUGAACCCAGGAGGCAGAGGUUGCAGUGAGCCGAGAUCACACCACUGCACUCCAGCCUGGGUGACAGAGUGAAACUCUGUCUCAA
rnacentral:SRP_RNA from 2 species